UGGCGGCUGCCGCUGUCCCACUUGGCCACACACUGUGCUGCUUUCUCAUGGCCAGUCAGAGCUCCACAGACUGCAGAUGGGGCUCAUGCCCGGCCUAUCGCAUGCCGCCGGGGGCAGGCACAGAACACACUCCUCCCCACCACCAUUCAGACCUUCACAUCUCUGCUGCAAGGGGCUAAUGGCCAAUUUGGAGAGCAAGCUCAUGGGGGAGGGGGGGGUGCUGUGCAGGGAUGGCGGCACCUGGAGCGCCCCUCCUCCUCCCCCGGGUAAGAAGCAAAGUAUGGGAACGUGCCGGGGGAGAUGCCACUGCCGCGCCCUGGGGCAUGCUCUAUCCCACCUGCCCACGCAUAGCCUCUACAACCUUUGUAAGUACCCCUGGGGGUACACAUACCCCCGGUUGACAACCUCUGCUCAAGGGACAUCUUGUGAUGAGGGUUCCAUGAACUACCUGGGGGGGCUUAGCUACCCAGGAAAAAGAAACUAACACCUUUGAAAUGGUUGCUAAAAGCCAGGGACCUGAUGUCCCUAGAGGACACUAGACAGUCACCUUGCUGGGGCCACUUGACCCCCAGUUCUCUUCCCUGCUUGGUGCAAGGGGCUGGACCCGAUGAUCUUCUGAGGUCCCUUUCAGCCUUACAAUCUAUGAAUCUAUAAAUCUAUAAUUAAGUAAAUUAUAUUUAAGCAACGUAUCGAAGGAUAGUUGGAUGAGUUGCAGUUUCUCUCUUACAUCAUAAUAAUUAAAAAUGUAAAAUACAUAAUGUGAAGAUGAGGAUUAAAUCUUUUAUGCUUAAACACCUGUCAGGUAUCCUCCAUUCACUUCCUUUUUCUUUUUUUGUUUGUUUCUAUAAACAGAUUGAUACAAGAAUUAAAAAAGUUGGGAAGAUUAGAAAUAUGGCCUUUUAGAUGAGUCACAGUGCAGCUGCUUAUCUUAUUGAUUCCCAAUAUACCUUUUGAAGCCUGAAAGGAAUGGAAAUUUUUUCAAUCCUGGGCUUUCAAUAUCUGGCAAAACCUCAGAAGCUGAACAGCAACACAAACUAGAGCACAUAGCCAUUGCAGUUUACUGAAGAGGGACUUCAGCAAUCUGGGUUUCAUUUCUGGCUCUUUCAUUGGUCAUCAAUGGUUAACCUUAAGCAAGUCAUGAGGAUAAUGAUGCCAUCUUUGUUUUUUAAAGUACUUUGUGAUUUGCUGAUAAAAAGUGCUAUGGAAAAGCAUUGUGCUAUAUAACUGGAGCUUCAAAAGAAUCACUAAAGAUUACAUGACUUUUUCUAAACUGAUGUCUGGCAGCGAUUGCUCUUUCCCUAAAGCCUGGAUACACAGAAAGUCUGCCCUAGAUUUCAAUAAUUGCUUAUUUUUUAAAAUAAGGACAAAUACGAAUGAUUUACGUGAUCCUCAAUAGCUUCAGAUGCCAUGAUCUCUUGGGAUGUUUCAGUUAUGGUGUCUAUAUCCCUGUGAUUCUUUCUAGUGACAGCUGGAUAAACGCAGACAGCUCACAAAACUUGCUCAUGUCCUUUCACACAGAAAUAUUGGACUCAGCUGUAAGGUCACCUGUCACAUCUUGAGUAUUGUAAGAGGAUGCAUAUCAAUAUUUUUUGAACCUUUGAAGAGUUGCAACCAACACAGAUUUAUUAAAACAUUGCAGCAGUAAGGACAUAAAGAGGACAGACCUAAAGGCCUCAUGAUCAGUUUCAGACCCAGAAUACAUGAAAGAUUUAAAAAUGUCAGUUUGGUCCCCGUGACUUGCUGGAAAAAGAGGAAAUCAGAGCCAAUCUUAGUUUUCUUAAACUCAAGUCUUUCAAAUGGAUCUAAAGUUUCUAGGACAGAAUGAUUUACGAGAUGACUUGAGGAAAAUGUUACUUUCACUGCUUCUGUGCUCAGUUUAGGUCUGAUGUCUAAGAUGAGUUAUAAAUCUGAUCUGGCACUGAGGCCAUGGGUAGAAAGAAAGACUGUCCUACUUCCACUUCUUAAGAAACUGCAAUACAGAGGAAGACUUUUUGUCAGAUUGCAGGGGUGACCCAACCCAACCCUAGAGGAUGGGAGAGAAUUUGCCUGCUUCAGAGACUAGGCAUUCUUUCCAUCAUGCAUGGUAGUAGAAUAGGGGUGGGUAAACUGUUUUGACAACUUGUUAUUGGUCCUGAUAUCGGCAUCUGGAUGCAUUUGAUGCUCAGUCCUCACUUCUGUCAGCAGUGAGACAAUAGCAAAUACCUGUAACAUGAUACUAAAAGACCAAAGGCAUUUUACACAGCGCCAGAAGAACAGUGAUGUGGGUUCCCAUAACUAAACUGCUGUCCUGACAAUGAGUGCCCUUCCGAAGUGCUGGUUCUGGGAUCUCAAUCCCCCACUGUUCUGGUGCCAAAUGUGCAGUAGAACCUUCUGAACAAUGGAUGGAUUUAGGUACCCCGUCAGCUCCUAUAAUGCAGGCACAAGGAAGGAACAGCACUGGUUGUCAGUGCCUUCUGUAUGACAUUUCUGAGAACUUUAAUUUUGUAUCUACUAUGAGGGCCUUCUGUGCCAGCAUGGCUUGUUACUAUUAGAAAUAGAGGGUGGGAGAUGUAUAGAAAAGGUAAUUCACAGAUAGGGGAACAGAGUCGAAAUAACUGAGGCAGGAAUGCAAAAAUUAGAAUAUAGUAUUAACUUCAAAGCAACCUUGAGAUUCUAAAUUCUGGAUGCCCAGGUUUGCAUUUCCAGUUAAAAUGGAAAAAGAAAAUAAAAAUCUUGCCUAACAUGCUGGGCGGAGGUGACACACUAAUACGGGAAAAUGAGAGCAUGGAACAGAGAAGAGCCAAUAUCUGGAGUCUUAGGCUUUUACAUUUCAUAUAAUCUUGGAGAUGAAAUUGGUAGGAGGUAGAUGGAAAUUGAGCCGGUUUGAUGAACAAGAUAAAUGCUGACAGCAAGAACCUUUGGCUACUGGUGUUGCCAGCAAUGUAGGACUGUCUCUUUAGCUUUUCCCCUGGACAUUCUUUGGCUGUGCUGACUGGCUUCCCUGCCUCCUACUCUCUUUUUCGUUGCCUUUUUUGCUUCAGCCUCACUCUACCUGCCUCUCUGCUCUUCAUCUUGUUCUACUUAACUUCACCCAGAAACAUCCUCUCUGUCUUUAUCCAUCUUUUCAGUUGAUCAUCAAUCUGCUUCCAAAAUUAAAGAUAGAAGUAAACCAAUCAAAACACAGUAAGAAAUAACAUGAAAUAUCAAGAAAAAUGGUAAGACCAAUGUGCCUGCAUAAGGAGCUUCUAGGAUGCCUCAACUGCAAAAGGAAAGCAUUUAGGAAAUGGAAAAAUGGGUAGGUCACCAAGAAAGCAUACCAGAAAAUAGCAAGAACCCAUGGGGACAAAAUCAGGAAGACAAAGGUAAACAGUGAGCUGCACCGGGUGAGAAAGGUUAAAAGCAACAAGAAGAGGUUUUGUAAGUAUGCUGGCCAGACAAGAAAGACCAAGGAAGCUGUGGGUACACUGUUAAAUAGCCAGGGUGAACUCUUAGCAGAAGAUGCAAAAAAGGCAGAGCUUCUUAACAGCUACUUCGCUCAGUCUUCAUGAAAAGAUGAAGCUGUAGCCAGAUGCCUAAAAAUAUUAUUCGGAUAAGGAACGGAGCAGCCUGUGGGAUGAGAUAACAAAAGGGAUACAGAGCUUUUGAGGAGUCUAGAUGAAUUCAAGCCAGCAAGGCCUGAAGAACUUCAUCCUAGGGUACUGAAGGAACUGGCAGAGGUCAUUUCAGAGCCUUUGGCGAUAAUAUUUAUGAAAUUGUGGGAGAUGGGUAAAGUACGAGAGGCUGAGUAAAGGGCCAGUAUAGUGCCCCUCUUUAAAAAAGGCAGAAAAGGAGGACCUGGGGAACUACAGACACUGGAGCAUAUCCUAAGCAAGCUCAUUUGCAAGCACAUGAAGGAGGAAGGGCUGAUUACUAGCAGCCAGUGUGGAUUUUUUAAGAACAAAUUGUGUCAAACAGGCUAUUGACAAAAUAAUUACUUGGGUGGAUGAAGGGAAUGCUGUGGAUAUAAUGCUGUGGACUUCAGUAAGGUUUUUUACAAAGUCCCACAUAACCUUCUCAUAAUUUGGAGAACCACGGGUUGGACAAGACUACAAUGGAGUUAAAGGGCUGGGUGAUAGGUUGGUUAUGACCUAUCACCCAUCCCUUGAACCUUGAACCUGUACGAAAAAUCCUCAAAAAAUUGCAACCCAUAUUAGAAAAAGACCCUAUUCUUAAAAAAAUCUUCCCAGAGCCACCCAUCCUAGCCUUCAGACAAGCACCAAACCCCGCCAACCUCAUCACCAGAAGCAAACUUCCUCAACCCCAGAACACACCAAAAGGAUCCAGACCGUGCCAUGACAAGAAAUGCAAAACCUGCCAACACAUCUCCACCACCCCCACUAUUACUACACCCCACAACAGAGCCAUCAGCAUCCCAGGAUCUUACAGCUGCACCUCCAGGAAUGUAGUAUACCUCAUCCAAUGCACCAAAUGCCCUGAUGGAAGAUAUGUAGGAGAGACCAAACAACAACUGCGCAGCAGAAUGAACGCACACCGGAAAUCCAUCAAAGACAGAAACACCCAAUUACCGGUGGGGGCACAUUUCUCACAGGAGGGCCACUCUCUCUCCAAUCUCUCAGUCCUGAUCCUCAAGGGAAACUUACACACACUUCCCAGAGACGAGCCUAUGAGCUCCAUUUCAUCAACCUGCUGGAUAUUAGAGAUCAGGGACUAAACAUAGACCUUGGAUUUUUGAUACAUUACAAUCUGCCUGGCAACUGACUCCCCAGCCCAGCCCAGCCCAGCCCAGCCCAGCCCCUGGCUUGUUUACUUUUCAUUCCAUCCAGGAAGAGCACGCAGCAACUGCUGCAGCGUCCUUAGCCUGACGAAGGGUUUUUGAACCCGAAAGCUUGCUUAAUAACUAUUCUCCAACCAUUUGGGUUGGUCUAAUAAAAGAUAUCAAAUUCACGCAAGGAACCUUGUCUGCCUAUAUCCUUAGACCAACAUGGCUACAACCUAAACCCCUGCUACAUCUUCCUAUGCACUCCACCUUCAGUCUGAUUCCCCUCUUUUCACUGAUACACCAAAAAUGCUGCCAAAAGACAGAUGUAAAUUGUUUCUAACCAGAAUCUUCGGAGACUAAGUCCUGGAGCACCUUAAAGGAGCCAGAUUGACGAGGUUGGCUGUGCCCCUCUUGAUUGUCAUGCAGCAUCCUGUACACAUCAGACUGAGGCACUGAGUUAAGCAUUGGAAAUGGGCCAUUACCUAACUUUACUCUUAAAACAGCUGCACCUCUCUGAGUUGGCAAUCAAGUCAUCUUCUGCUCUUGGAUCUACUUUACAAAAUAACAAUUCUCAAGUAGUGGAUGCUGAGCAAAAGCAAAUGAAGCUUGUCAAGAGUUCUGGACUUCUGAAAACCAGACCAUAUAGAUAGCGUUUGGGCUUUUGAUGCUGCUGAUUUAUUCAUUCCUGUUUAACUACCUCUCUGUCCGGAGUUCCUCUUCUCUCCCGUGGAGUACAUCGACCCACAUCAGUGAAAGCAGAAGAAUAACUUCCAGGGGACUCCUGGUCUACUGAAAAUGGAAAGCAGUUUUAGGAAUCCUGGGGCAUCAUGGGCUGAUCUAUGACGAACCCUUGACCUACCAUUACUGCGACUGUCAGGAACAUAGGGGGAGGC